UAAAGUCUAAUCUGCCCACUGAUAUAAUAUUAAAGGGCUGCAGUAUUUUGACUGUACAAAGGUAGCAUAAUCAUUAGUCUUUUAAUUGAAGACUUGUAUGAAUGAUUGGAUGAAAUAUAAACUGUCUCUAAUAUUAUUAGUUAGAAUUUAAUUUUUUUAUUAAAAAGUAAAAAUAAAUUUAAAAGACGAGAAGACCCUAUAGAGUUUUAUAAUUAAUUUAAUUGAAAUUAUUUAUAAAGAUAAUUUUAAAUUAAUAAAUUAAAAUUAAGUUAAUUAUUUUGUUGGGGUGAUAAAAAAAUAAAAAUAACUUUUUUUAAUAAAUAUAUAUAUAUAUAUAUAUUGUAAACAAAAAUAAAUGAUUUUUUGAUCCAGAAUUUUUGAUUAUAAGAAAAAAUUACCUUAGGGAUAACAGCGUAAUUUUUUUUUUUAGUUCAAAUAAGAAAAAGAGUUUGCGACCUCGAUGUUGGAUUAAGGAAAAAUUUAAAUGCAAAAGUUUAAAAUUUUG
rnacentral:rRNA from 1 species